rnacentral:rRNA from 1 species
CAGUAGCCGCGGUAAAACGGAGGGUGCAAGCGUUAAUCGGAAUUACUGGGCGUAAAGCGCACGCAGGCGGUCUGUCAAGUCAGAUGUGAAAUCCCCGGGCUUAACCUGGGAACUGCAUUUGAAACUGGCAGGCUAGAGUCUUGUAGAGGGGGGUAGAAUUCCAGGUGUAGCGGUGAAAUGCGUAGAGAUCUGGAGGAAUACCGGUGGCGAAGGCGGCCCCCUGGACAAAGACUGACGCUCAGGUGCGAAAGCGUGGGGAGCAAACAGGAUUAGAUACCCGUGUAGUCCCUGUCUCUUAUAA